UCCGGCUCUUCGCCGGCAGUCUCUCUAGAGUCCCCGACAUAACUCGCUGGCAACUAGAGACGGGGGUUGCGCUCGUUGCGGGACUUAACCCAACACCUCACGGCACGAGCUGACGACAGCCAUGCAGCACCUUGCACUCUGUCUGGUUUUACCCAGAAGGCCCUAUCUCUAGGGUUGUCAGAGGCAUUCUAGUCCAGGUAAGGUUCUUCGCGUUGCGUCGAAUUAAGCCACAUGCUCCACCGCUUGUGCGGGGCCCCGUCAAUUCCUUUGAGUUUUAGCCUUGCGGCCGUACUCCCCAGGCGGGGUGCUUAAUGCGUUAGCUUCGGCACGGACGGGGUCGAUGUCCGCCCACACCUAGCACCCAACGUUUACGGCUAGGACUAC
rnacentral:misc_RNA from 1 species